CAGCGGUGCUCCUAUCGGACAACGGAUGUCAGUUCACGGGAGCCCGCUGGAAACAGGCCUGCAGAAGGUGGGGGGUGAGCCACCACACGACGCCGACGUAUCACCCGAGGGCCAACCCAACCGAGAGACGGAACCAAGAGAUAAAGGCUCAGCUCCGUCUCCGGUUGGGAGAGGACCAUUCAAAAUGGGAUACCCAUUUGCCGAACCUCUUAUACUGUCUGAGGCGUCGUACGAGUGCCGCCACGGGCUACUCGCCGGCAUCGCUGGUCAUGGGGCGGAACCUGGCGCUGCCAGGAGAAUGCCGGGUAGAGGCGGCAGCCACAGAAGCCGGGUGGGGCGAAUGUCUCAAUACCGAGCUGACCAGAAUGCAGGAGAGGGCUAGGCGGAGACAGGAGGCCUAUCUACAGCAGACGACACCACAGUCCACUAGACCUCCCCCUACUCUGAACCCCGGGGACCAAGUGUACGUCCGACAGCAUCCUCUGUCGUCAAGGGCAAAGAACUUUUGUGCAGGUCUAGCCCCGAAAUGGGCGGGCCCCAGGACCGUUCUGCGACAGGCGGGGGCCACAUCGUACUUAAUACGUACACCAAGCGGGAGGCCCGCAAAAAUUCACAGAGACCAACUGCGCCUAGCCGCGGGGGAGAGACAAGCUCCAAGGGACACGGACAGGGGAGAGGGACCUGCCUCUACACCAGUCACCGACGCAAACCAAGCCAGCUGUGACAUGGACGGAAGGUGGGACGAGGACAUGGUGGGACAGAAAGAACGAGGAGACGUGACAGAGACGCGACCGGCAGCCGACACAGGGGCAGCCAUGAAAGGAACAGAGACAGGAGGGGCAGAAGAGAGCGUAAUGGAACCAGCCAGGACAUUUGGGGAACCAGACGAAACGACCGCCGACACAAACGUGAUCCAGUUCAUCACGGAACCGGACACGGACGGGGAGGACGAGGAGGGGAAAGACCCAGACACCCCUCUCUGGCCCCUCAAUACGAGUCUGGCGGACUCGUCGUUCAUUAUGACCGUCACCGAACCAGACUCAGAGACAGAACGGGGGGACACAGAGGGGAUGGAGGAAGAACUGAUGGGGGUCCUGACAGGUGAACCAGGAUCUUCGGGGUGGUCUGCCAUCCCAACCACGAGGAUGGGGGGAAAGGACAGGACAUUAGGCCCCAACCGUUCACUCAGCCCCUCACUUUCCAGAAGCGAAUCUGGGGAAAACUCCCGACCUAGGAGGAUACGGCGGGUACCUACCUACCUACCUACCAAAGGCAAGCCACCAUGCGAACACAAGAUCCCGACUCAGUGUCAUGAGUUUACUGCCACCCUUCGCGAGACACCCGCACACGAUACACACCAGAGGCCAAGACACUCCCUACCCUCCCGUCUCCACGAUCAACGAGUGCAACGGCAGAUGCGACUAAGAGACGUUGACGCGCAUAAUGGCCUUGUGGGAAGGGGGGGGGGGCAUUUGACGUCGACCCAGAGGCCACCCUAGCUCCUGCAGGCCGUUAUGGCGCGUCACCGCCUUCUUCUGUGCGCGGGCGUGUGCGGGAGCCAGUGGUGCCAACUUCAAUAAACCAGUGUCCCUCCGACGUAGUUUUUUAUGUAUAUUUUCUUUUCUUUCAGCAGGACAUAAUUUUUAUUGUAAAAACUAUAAUAUCGUUCAUCAUGUAUAAUUUAAAUUAGAAGGGUAAAUAACAUGUAUUUUAUUAUGCACGGGGUGAACAAGUCGCGGGUUCCCGUCCACGAGGACGUCAGGUGCUGCACGAGACACGCGCGGGGAGGGGGUCGGCGCGAGGAGAGUCGGCAGUCGCGUCUGGAGAACCGCGGUGCAGAGACGUGACGGCCGCGAGCUCUCGCCAAGACGAGUGAAACGGACGAAAGGGUUAAAAAGCCCUUAUUCAGGUGUGGAGCGGCGCUUGUGAGCAAGUACUACCUCAUCACUGCAGCACAUUGCCUUACCGAA